AACAGGAUUAGAUACCCUGGUAGUCCACGCCGUAAACGAUGUCUACUAGUCGUUGGGUCCCUUGAGGACUUAGUGACGCAGCUAACGCAAUAAGUAGACCGCCUGGGGAGUACGGCCGCAAGGUUAAAACUCAAAUGAAUUGACGGGGGCCCGCACAAGCGGUGGAGCAUGUGGUUUAAUUCGAUGCAACGCGAAGAACCUUACCUGGUCUUGACAUAUCUAGAAUCCUGCAGAGAUGCGGGAGUGCCUUCGGGAAUUAGAAUACAGGUGCUGCAUGGCUGUCGUCAGCUCGUGUCGUGAGAUGUUGGGUUAAGUCCCGCAACGAGCGCAACCCUUGUCCUUAGUUACCAGCGGUUUGGCCGGGAACUCUAAGGAUACUGCCAGUGACAAACUGGAGGAAGGCGGGGACGACGUCAAGUCAUCAUGGCCCUUACGACCAGGGCUACACACGUGCUACAAUGGUAGGUACAGAGGGCAGCUACACAGCGAUGUGAUGCGAAUCUCAAAAAGCCUAUCGUAGUCCAGAUUGGAGUCUGCAACUCGACUCCAUGAAGUAGGAAUCGCUAGUAAUCGCGGAUCAGAAUGCCGCGGUGAAUACGUUCCCGGGCCUUGUACACACCGCCCGUCACACCAUGGGAGUUGAUUGCACCAGAAGUGGUUAGCCUAACCUUUUAGGAAGGCGAUCACCACGGUGUGGUUGAUGACUGGGGUGAAGUCGUAACAAGGUAACC
rnacentral:rRNA from 1 species